UCACAAAAAAUAUACAAGAGUCUGUCACUUUGUGUCUGAGUUUUGCAAACGCUUUCUUCCUUCUUCUUCUCUCGUUCUGCUCUGGUUUCUUGGUUGGUUGGCUUUCUAUGCUUAUCUGGUGCUCUGUUCUUGUGCGCCAGUUGAGAUAAGGAGUGAGAGCACGAGAAAAAAAGAAAGGGGGAAAAACGAUGAGCUGUUUUUGCUGCUCUAAGAAAUCAGUCAAAGAACCAGAGAAGGAAAUUACCAACAUCAACACCAACAAACCCAAUCAUCAAGGUCAAGUGAAUACGAAUGGUGAUGUGAAAAAGGAAUUGGGUGUGAAAAAGGAAAUGGUUGUAAAAAAGGAGGAGGCCACGAAGGAUGACCAGUUGUCGUUGGAUGUAAAGGAGUUGAAUAUAAAAGAGGAGGGUUCCAACGAUGGAAAAACCGCUGGCAAGCGGGCACAGACGUUUACAUUUGCUGAACUUGCAGCAUCAACUGGCAAUUUCAGGUCUGAUUGCUUUGUAGGUGAAGGAGGGUUUGGAAAAGUUUACAAGGGUCAACUGGAGAAAAUUAAUCAGGUUGUUGCUAUCAAGCAGCUUGAUCGUAAUGGAUGCCAAGGAAUUAGGGAAUUUGUUGUCGAAGUAUUGACGCUUAGUUUGGCUGACCACCCUAAUCUUGUCAAACUGCUUGGAUUCUGUGCCGAGGGAGAUCAGAGGCUAUUGGUUUAUGAAUAUAUGCCAUUAGGAUCUUUGGAAAACCAUUUGCAUGAUCCUUCACCCAGCAGGAAUGUGCUUGACUGGAAUACAAGAAUGAAGAUAGCAGCUGGUGCUGCUAGGGGUUUAGAGUAUCUGCAUGAGAAAAUGCAGCCCCCUGUUAUAUACCGUGACCUGAAAUGCUCGAACAUUUUGCUCGGUGAGGGGUACCAUCCAAAGCUAUCGGAUUUUGGCUUGGCUAAAGUAGGUCCCAGUGGAGAUAAAACUCAUGUUUCUACUAGGGUUAUGGGCACGUAUGGGUAUUGUGCACCGGAUUAUGCCAUGACAGGUCAGCUGACUUUCAAAUCAGAUGUUUAUAGCUUUGGGGUUGUUCUUUUGGAGCUUAUCACAGGAAGGAAAGCUAUUGAUAAUACAAGACCCGUCAGAGAGCAGAACCUGGUAGCAUGGGCAAGACCCAUGUUCAGAGACCGGAAGAAGUUCUCAAUAAUGGUGGAUCCGUUGCUUCAAGGUCACUAUCCAGUCAGGGGAUUAUACCAAGCUCUUGCUAUUGCUGCGAUGUGCGUUCAAGAGCAGCCCAAUAUGCGGCCUGUCAUAACUGACAUAGUUACAGCGCUGCAUUACCUUGCAUCCCAGAAAUAUGACCCCCAAACCGAUCCAGUUCAAACCUCGAUAAAGGGUCCAUCUUCUCCAAAAGUGAGGAGAGAUGAUGAUAUAACACAGAUUGGAGGUGACAGGCCAGAGAGAGACUAGGCCAGAGGAUUACAUUAAAGAAUAAAGCAGCCAAUAACAUUUUGCGGUCUUGUAGAUGAUGUGCCUAGUUAUCAAUUUUUGCAUCAUAGAAGAUAACAGGUAAUGCGGGGAACAUCGUUGUUGGGGAGCUUAAGAUGCCCCUCUUCCGGUUAACCCAAUUCAAAGAGGGGCAUUGGAGAUUCCGGUGAAUGACUUGUUAUUGUGUAACCGGGGCUGAGUGUGGUAAGUUUUGAGGGUUUAGGGUUUAGGAGGGUAAAUAUCGUUUAGGCUGCCGAAAGUGCUUUGAGCUCUUAAGUAGCAUUGGACAAAUUUGUAAAAAGAUGUUUAACUCGUUACUUUGUUGGCAAAUGGAUGUUUAUGGAUUGGUUUGGAACUAUUUUUAAAAUGAUUGGAUGUUCUUUUAGAGAAUGCAUUUGGUUUUGAAAAGCACUUAAAGUGCUUCUUACAAGGAGCACUUAAAGUGCUUCGUGCUUCUUGCAUGAAGUAAUAAAUUGCUUUUUCAGGA